AUUGAACGCUGGCGGAAUGCUUUACACAUGCAAGUCGAGCGGCAGCGCGGGGGCAACCCUGGCGGCGAGCGGCGAACGGGUGAGUAAUACAUCGGAACGUGUCCUUAAGUGGGGGAUAGCUCGGCGAAAGCCGGAUUAAUACCGCAUAAGCUCUGAGGAGGAAAGCGGGGGAUUCGCAAGGACCUCGCGCUGUUGGAGCGGCCGAUGUCGGAUUAGCUAGUUGGUGGGGUAAAGGCCCACCAAGGCGACGAUCCGUAGCUGGUCUGAGAGGAUGAUCAGCCACACUGGAACUGAGACACGGUCCAGACUCCUACGGGAGGCAGCAGUGGGAAUUUUGGACAAUGGGGCAACCCUGAUCCAGCCAUUCCGCGUGAGUGAAGAAGGCC
rnacentral:rRNA from 1 species